AUUGAACGCUGGCGGCAUGCCUUACACAUGCAAGUCGAACGGUAACGGGCCUUCUGGUGCCGACGAGUGGCGCACGGGUGUGUAAUACAUCGGAACGUGCCCGAUCGUGGGGGAUAACGCGGCGAAAGCUUUGCUAAUAUCGCAUACGAUCUACGGAUGAAAGCAGGGGACCGCAAGGCCUUGCGCGGACGGAGCGGCCGAUGGCAGAUUAGGUAGUUGGUGGGAUAAAAGCUUACCAAGCCGACGAUCUGUAGCUGGUCUGAGAGGAUGAUCAGCCACACUGGGACUGAGACACGGCCCAGACUCCUACGGGAGGCAGCAGUGGGGAAUUUUGGACAAUGGGCGCAAGCCUGAUCCAGCCAUGCCGCGUGCAGGAUGAAGGCCUUCGGGUUGUAAACUGCUUUUGUACGGAACGAAAAGCCUUCUUUUAAUACAGGAGGGUCAUGACGGUACCGUAAGAAUAAGCACCGGCUAACUACGUG
rnacentral:rRNA from 1 species